CAUCAAAAUUGAUGUCAAUCACUCUUAAAGGCUAUUUGCUUUUAAGAAGGAUUUUAGCUUCAGCAGCACCAAUAAUAGUGUAAAUUUGAGUCUCAAAUUUUAUCUUUAGUCUUGUCAUAUGAUGGCCCUGUAGUGAGGUUACUGACUUCUCAAGUUGGAUUUGGUGCUGCUUUAGUUUCCUGUCGUUGGCGUCAUGGCAAAAAUAUUUAAGCUGAACUCUGAAUAUUUUGCUCCUCCUCGUGGUCUCACCCGGGAAGAAAUUAUAUGCUUCAAAUUGGCUGUUAAGGGUUGAUUCACUUCCGCUCCAGACGCCUUCAUAGCAUAUGAUUUCUUGCUAAACGCCUAAAAUAGGGAUUUUCAGGUUUAAUAUUUUCGAUCAUGUACAACUAUUUUGCUGAUAUCUGAACCGAUCUGCUAGGCCUCAGGAAGGUGCAGCCUUGGGAUCAUACCAGAUCUGAGGAUGUUGCUAACCACUGAGGACAUCUUUGACAUCUUCAGUUGAUUUUGCAUUGACGGAGUUUAAGCAAGAUUUGGAAGUCAUGGAGUUCUGAGAAUAUGGACCUCUGGCUAUGCCCUGUCAGUAAAUUGCAGUCUCCUGUUGCUUCAACUUCGUAAGGAGCCCAACAAGAUGCAGCUCUUUCCGAAUCAAGCAAAGUUUGUAAACGUUCUUUCUAUAACCUGGUGGGGAGGAUAUUUAUUUCAAGAUUUGCACUGUGAUAAUUGAAAAUAUAUCCCUCAGUCCUACUGUUUGUCUUAUGUCUUGAAUGAGUUUAGCUUUGUUGCUUUAACGUUGCUAUGAGUAUUAAGUAAAUUCUUGUGAAUUGACCCUCCAUUGAAUCUGCCUGUGGAUAAAUACUUAGCUGCGGUUAUGCUAUUUAUCCAGUUGAUAUUUUUUCUAAGCCUUGAGAAUAAACCAUUUGUCAUUCUAAUAUUCUUUGUAUUGAUUGAUUUUUUUUUUUUUUUUGUUCAUAUGUUCAAAUGUGCUUUAAUUGCUCAUAUGCUAUAUUGAAACGGUUUUCUGAAACUGUUGCAACUGAAGUAUGCCAGACUAUUUGUUUAAUUAAAAAAAAACAAACAACUUCAAUAUUUGCACUGAUUGUAAGUCUUU